GAUGAACGCUAGCGGGAGGCUUAACACAUGCAAGUCGAGGGGCAGCACGGGGUAGCAAUACUCUGGUGGCGACCGGCAAACGGGUGAGUAACGCGUAUGUAACCUACCCUGUACAGGGGGAUAACCCGGAGAAAUUCGGACUAAUAUCCCAUAACAAUAUUCAGAGGCAUCUUUGGAUAUUUAAAGUUCCGGCGGUACGGGAUGGGCGUGCGUAACAUUAGCUAGUUGGUAAGGUAACGGCCUACCAAGGCUUUGAUGUUUAGGGGUCCUGAGAGGGUGGUCCCCCACACUGGUACUGAGACACGGACCAGACUCCUACGGGAGGCAGCAGUGAGGAAUAUUGGUCAAUGGGCGCAAGCCUGAACCAGCCAUCCCGCGUGCAGGAAGACGGCGCUAUGCGUUGUAAACUGCUUUUCCAGGGAGAGAAACUUGCGCACGUGUUGCGCAAUUGACGGUACCCUGGGAAUAAGCAUCGGCUAACUCCGUG
rnacentral:rRNA from 1 species